GCGCCGGUGGUGUAAGGCGAACAUCGCUGCCCGGAAAGCAGAAGAUGCGGGUUCGAGUCCCGCCUGCCGCA
rfam:Heligmosomoides polygyrus genome assembly, scaffold: HPBE_scaffold0003278